rnacentral:rRNA from 1 species
CCUGGCUCAGAACGAACGCUGGUGGCGUGUCUUAUACAUGCAAGUCGAGCGAGGCAGCAAUGCCGAGCGGCGAACGGGUGAGUAACGCGUAAGCAAUCUGCCCCAUAUCAGGAAAUACCCGUGCCAACGCGCGGUUAAUGUCCAGGAGAGUGGCCUUCCGCAUGGAAGGUUGACUAGAGAUUUAUCGGUAUGGGAUGAGCUUGCGUCCGAUUAGCUAGUUGGCGGGCAACGGCCCACCAAGGCGACGAUCGGUAGCCGGCCUGAGAGGGUGAUCGGCCACAUUGGGACUGAGAUACGGCCCAGACUCCUACGGGAGGCAGCAGUAGGGAAUAUUGCACAAUGGGGGAAACCCUGAUGCAGCAACGCCAACGUGUGGGAAGAAGCAUUUCGGUGUGUAAACCACUGUCAUGAGGGAAUAAGGCCCGCCUUCGGACGGGAUUGAAUGUACCUUGAGAGGAAGCACCGGCAAACUUCGUGCCAGCCGCCGC